UUCUCAACCUUGGCUGCACUUUAUAAUCACCUGGGGAACUAGUAAAAGCCCCAAUUCUCUGGCCUCACCUGAGACUAAUUAAUUCUGAAUUUCUGGGGUGAAGACCAGGCAUCAAUAUUUCUUUAAGGCUCCCCAGGUAAUUCUACCGCAUGAGCAAGGUUGAGAUCCUCUGGUUUAGAGUUGUUCUCAAAGGUUGGUAACAUUCGACACACCUGGAGGCCUUGUUUAAACUCAGAUUACUGGACCCCGCCCCUAGAAUUUUGGCGUCAGUCGGUCUGGAAAUUGUAUUUUAAACAAGGUCUCAGGUGGUGGUCUUGCUGCUGGUCCAGGGACCACACUUUGAGAACAACUAUUUUAGAAGAAUCCAGGAAAACUCAGAAAGGAAGGAAAUCCUGAGGAACUGCUAUUGAUGUGGUCAUAUGAAAAAGAUAAAACAUGCUUCUCAGCAACUCUGUGGGAAAACGAAACAAAGCAAAUCAUCUAUAUGUGAGUUCUGUAGAAAGAUAAGCUGGUCUAAACAAACAAACAUUCCAGUUAUAGAAAACUGAAGUCCUGUCGAAGGAAAUAUUCAACAAGCAUGAGAAUUUAAAUGAGUGUGUGCCUGGAAAGGAGAGAAGCACAUCCUUCUUAUUUAGAAUAUUUUAGCCAAAUAAAAGAAGGAAAAUCUAAGUCUUCAUUAAGUAGGUACUCUCAGGAACAAUUUUAUAAGUGGCUUCUAUUGUCAGCAUUGCUGGAACAAAAUGAACUAGCAAAUAUGCCUCUCAUAAAAAUGAUGAUGAUGGUGAUGAUAAAUUUAAAUUGGUCUUGGACUAUAUUUCACAAGCUAUGUUUGACUUACUGGGUUUACCUGUUCCAGAUCUGAGUUGAAGUCCUGGAUAUCCUUAUUAAUUUUCUGUCUCGUUGAGUCUAAAUCUCGUUAUGGGUUUUAUGUAUCUGGUUAUUAAGAUCUCUUAUUGUUGCAUUGAUCCUUUUACCACUGUAUCUUUGUUGCUUUGAAAUCUAUUUUAUCAAAUGUGAGAAUUGCAACUCCUGCUUUUUGUUUAUUUAUUUAUUUUUGCUCUCCAUUUGAUUGGUAAAUUUUUCUCCAACCCUUUGUUUUGAGUCUCUGUGUAUCUUUGGAUAUACCGUUAGGUUUUGGCUGUAUCUUUUGAUUGGGGGAUUUAGUCGAUUUAAAUUUAGGGUUACUGCCAUUUGAUGUUAACUGGCGAUUUUAUCCAUUCGUUGAUGUAAAUUCUUCUUUAUGUUGAUGCUCUUUAUAUUUUGGUAUAUUUUUAGAAAGGCUCAUACUGGUUGUUCCUUUCUAUGUAUAAUGCUUCUUUCAGAAGUUCUGAAAUGUGUGUGUAUAUAUAUAUAUAUAUAUAUAUAUAUAUAUAUAUAUUUAUAUAUGGACACAUACAUACAUAUAUAUUUUGUAAAUUAUAAGUUUCAUAUGUAAAAA
rnacentral:lncRNA from 1 species